rnacentral:rRNA from 1 species
GUGCCAGACUCCUACGGGAGGCAGCAGUGGGGAAUAUUGCGCAAUGGGGGCAACCCUGACGCAGCAACGCCGCGUGAUUGAAGAAGGCCUUCGGGUUGUAAAGAUCUUUAAUCAGGGACGAAAAAUGACGGUACCUGAAGAAUAAGCUCCGGCUAAAUACGUGCCAGCAGCCGCGGUAAUACGUAUGGAGCAAGCGUUAUCCGGAUUUACUGGGUGUAAAGGGAGCGUAGGCGGUAAGGCAAGUCUGAUGUGAAAGGCCAGGGCUCAACCCUGGGACUGCAUUGGAAACUGUUUAACUGGAGUGUCGGAGAGGCAAGUGGAAUUCCUAGUGUAGCGGUGAAAUGCGUAGAUAUUAGGAGGAACACCAGUGGCGAAGGCGGCUUGCUGGACGAUGACUGACGCUGAGGCUCGAAAGCGUGGGGAGCAAACAGGAUUAGAUACCCGCGUAA